ensembl:lncRNA
AUAUAUAUAUAAAUACAUAUAUUUUUGUAUACAAAUACAUUUUAGGCAAAUACAAAUCUUUAUCAGUUAUUUCUUAGUUUUUUUGUGCUUUUUCAGGGUUUGAUGUGAAUGUCAAUAUAUGGCUUAGGAUUUCAAUGUACAGAUAAGAUAAAGAGAGCAAUAACUGCAGUGCAUGGCACUCUCUCCAAAGCAUAGAGAUGGAUAUGUUUCGCACCAAAACAAGCAACAGUUUUCACAAAACAAUCAAAACAUGUGGUGAAGUGAAACAUUACAAUGCCGUGGAUAAUGCAUGACCCAAAAUGUUAUGUGCAUACAUGUUCUGUAAUCACAAAAGGGAUGAAUGUUGUGAUGCAAAAGAUGAAUGCCAAGUAACCAUUCAACAAAUGUAAACCGCAAGAUGUAAUAUCAACAUGUACAUUAUAUACACUGGAUUGAAGCUAAAUUACAAUUUCUAUGCAUAUAUACACUGCAUUUAGUUGAAAUUUACAUAAGUGAUAAAUUCACUGCUGAAGGUAAUAUAGACAAAACCUACACUCGUGUUCAUGACAAAUACAUUUGCUGAAAGACAUACAUGACAAAGGACUUGAUGCUGAGCGAUAACAAAAGCAGCAAAGCUGGUGAUGGAAAGGGGUUUCGGGGAGCUCAACCGGUCAUAGGAACCUUACUGGUACUGUACUGACCAUUCUUCCGUACACUUCAGCCCCUGAUUGUCCUGCGUUUUCAAUUAAGCCAGUGGCACAGCAGUAAAAACAAACAGUGCCACCUGCUGGUGAAGACUGCAGUGCAGAUGGAGUAGCUGAGGCAUCGUUGAGGUGUGGAACUGUUCUAUUGCCCUGCCGCUCUGGCCUUCUGCUGCUGUGUCUGCUGCUGUGCCUGCUGCAUCAUCAUUGACCGCAUGGCUGGGCUCAUCGACACAGGGGUUAUGCCAGGGGUGAAAGGUUGCAUAGGGUAGUAGGUAUUCUUUCCGGCCAUUAAGACACACUGCAAGACUUUCUGGCCUGCAAUAUACAAUAUAAAUAGAUUGAACAUAUUAAGGAUUUGUUACUUGCAUUUUGCAAGUGUU